rnacentral:lncRNA from 1 species
GGUAGUAGAAUGUUAAUUUUUUUUCAAAAAAAAUCAUUGUAUAACAUAAAAAUUAAAUAAAUGUUCAUGAUUAUGUGGAAUAAAGACUAUGUAAUAUGGUGAUUUUUAAAAUUGUAAAAUUGUGUGGAUUGUAAAAUUGUAAGAAAGUGGCUGUUAAAUAAUAGAACAUUGUGCAUGGUCUAACAAGUAACUGCUUAGAUAAUCCAGAUUCUACAAGUAAUCAAUUUGACUUUAAUAUAUCUUAAGAAAUAUAUGAUAUAACGUGUUACACUAUUUUAGAAUUAUUUUAAAGCAUCUAUUUUAUGUUUAAAAAAAGCGGGAAAACUCAAUUAUAUGCUAAAGGAUAAAUCAAUUAGUUAUGUGGCGGAUGUUCAAUAAUUCUUUUUAUGUUUAAUAGAUUUUUGAUAGACAACAAAGUUCAAAUUAUUUCACAUAAGUAUUAGGCUG